GUCUUCGUAGCUCAGUUGGUUAGAGCGCAGGAUUCAUAACCCUGAGGCCGCCGGUUCGAGCCCGGCCGAGGACA
rfam:Monoraphidium neglectum strain SAG 48.87 unplaced genomic scaffold scaffold05953, whole genome shotgun sequence.